rnacentral:rRNA from 1 species
GAUGAACGCUGGCGGCGUGCCUAAUACAUGCAAGUCGAGCGAACGGACGAGAAGCUUGCUUCUCUGAUGUUAGCGGCGGACGGGUGAGUAACACGUGGAUAACCUACCUAUAAGACUGGGAUAACUUCGGGAAACCGGAGCUAAUACCGGAUAAUAUUUUGAACCGCAUGGUUCAAAAGUGAAAGACGGUCUUGCUGUCACUUAUAGCUGGAUCCGCGCUGCAUUAGCUAGUUGGUAAGGUAACGGCUUACCAAGGCAACGAUGCAUAGCCGACCUGAGAGGGUGAUCGGCCACACUGGAACUGAGAAACGGUCCAGACUCCUACGGGAGGCAGCAGUAGGGAAUCUUACGCAAUGGGCGAAAGCCUGACGGAGCAACGCCGCGUGAGUGAUGAAGGUCUUCGGAUCGUAAAACUCUGUUAUUAGGGAAGAACAUAUGUGUAAGUAACUGUGCACAUCUUGACGGUACCUAAUCAGAAAGCCACGGCUAACUACGUG